AAUCCGCCGGCUGGCGCCCCUGGAAUGGGGAGGUCGGCCGCCUGGCGGGGCCAGCGGUCCUUAGCGGUGCCUUCUCUCCCCUCUUCCCUCCGCUCCUGCUGUGCGGGAACUGGAGAAUCGUUAGGACGUGGAGGAAGCAGAGAAGUGGAUCAGAGAACAGGAGGGCUGGGAAGAGUCCUGGUUUCUCAAUCCUGACUGAGCAUCUGAAUCACCUGAGAAGCUACUAAAAUGCAGAUUCCCCGACCCCAUCCCCUUAGAGUCAGAGUCUGUGCAUUUAGGGUGCGGCCUUUCUCAGAGGGAUCGACUGAGACCUACUGAACCCUAGAAGUCUUUACCUGAGGCAGUUCCUGCAAUGUACUGUAUAUUUCAUGACAUUCCAUGUAAAAGAUGACAAGACCGAGACCGUUGAGUGACAGAGAUAAGAACUGACUUAUCUAAGGCUCCACAGGUGGUAGAUGGCAGAGCCGAGACCUGAGCCAAUUAUCUUUUCUCCUGCACUGUGCGGGGUAAUACAGCUCGUUUAAAACAAGCUGGAGUCUCCAUUCCGUUUUCCGCGUUGCUUCUCACAACUCACUGUUAGAAUCCAGAAGUAAGAGAACCCGGGGAAGCGUAAGGAAGAUGAAUAGGACAAAGAUUCUAAGAAGGUGGGAAGGAAGAAGGCUGCAGUCUAUUUCAAGUCUGGUGAAUUUCAAUCACUGUAGCCUUUAUUGUUAUUUUAGAGCCACCUAGACCAAAAGAGAAGGAGCUCAAAUUGCUGAGACAUUCUGUUAAACAUCAAGUUGAA
rnacentral:lncRNA from 1 species